rnacentral:rRNA from 1 species
UAGUGGCGAACGGGUGAGUAACACGUGGGCAAUCUGCCCUUCACUCUGGGACAAGCCCUGGAAACGGGGUCUAAUACCGGAUAACACUCUGUCCCGCAUGGGACGGGGUUGAAAGCUCCGGCGGUGAAGGAUGAGCCCGCGGCCUAUCAGCUUGUUGGUGGGGUGAUGGCCUACCAAGGCGACGACGGGUAGCCGGCCUGAGAGGGCGACCGGCCACACUGGGACUGAGACACGGCCCAGACUCCUACGGGAGGCAGCAGUGGGGAAUAUUGCACAAUGGGCGAAAGCCUGAUGCAGCGACGCCGCGUGAGGGAUGACGGCCUUCGGGUUGUAAACCUCUUUCAGCAGGGAAGAAGCGAAAGUGACGGUACCUGCAGAAGAAGCGCCGGCUAACUACGUGCCAGCAGCCGCGGUAAUACGUAGGGCGCAAGCGUUGUCCGGAAUUAUUGGGCGUAAAGAGCUCGUAGGCGGNUUGUUGCGUCGGUUGUGAAAGCCCGGGGCUUANCCCCGGGUCUGCAGUCGAUACGGGCAGGCUAGAGUGUGGNAGGGGNAGAUCGNAAUUCUU